AGAUUGAACGCUGGCGGCAGGCCUAACACAUGCAAGUCGAGCGGUAGAGAGGUGCUUGCACCUCUUGAGAGCGGCGGACGGGUGAGUAAAGCCUAGGAAUCUGCCUGGUAGUGGGGGAUAACGCUCGGAAACGGACGCUAAUACCGCAUGCGUCCUACGGGAGAAAGCAGGGGACCUUCGGGCCUUGCGCUAUCAGAUGAGCCUAGGUCGAUUAGCUAGUUGGUGAGGUAAUGGCUCACCAAGGCGACGAUCCGUAACUGGUCUGAGAGGAUGAUCAGUCACACUGGAACUGAGACACGGUCCAGACU
rnacentral:rRNA from 1 species